rnacentral:tRNA from 1 species
GGGUAUAUAGCUUGGAGGUAGAGUAUGUGUUUAGCAUGCAUGAGGUCCUGGGUUCAAUCCCUAGUACCUCCA